GGAAGGUCCGGGCGUUAUCCGGAUUUAUUGGGUUUAAAGGGAGCGUAGGCCGGANAUUAAGCGUGUUGUGAAAUGUAGAUGCUCAACAUCUGCACUGCAGCGCGAACUGGUUUCCUUGAGUACGCACAAAGUGGNCGGAAUUCGUGGUGUAGCGGUGAAAUGCUUAGAUAUCACGAAGAACUCCGAUUGCGAAGGCAGCUCACUGGAGCGCAACUGACGCUGAAGCUCGAAAGUGCGGGUAUCGAACAGGAUUAGAUACCCUGGUAGUCCGCACGGUAAACGAUGGAUGCCCGCUGUUGGUCUGAAUAGGUCAGCGGCCAAGCGAAAGCAUUAAGCAUCCCACCUGGGGAGUACGCCGGCAACGGUGAAACUCAAAGGAAUUGACGG
rnacentral:rRNA from 1 species